CGUACAUAUGCUAUCCGGGCAAGGGAAGAAGCUUCUGCUCCAGAUGUGAUAGCUGAUCAAGAAUCCAAAGAAGAACGAGGAAAAGAAAAAGUUGCGGAAUAGUCCCAAAAUUUCAAUAUCUUCUACAAAUUAGCCGGAUUGACUUGAAGUGAAGUGGGUAGAUCGGAUCAACACAACAAAGCACACUAUCCAGAUCAAUUC